GAUGAACGCUGGCGGCGUGCCUAAUACAUGCAAGUCGAGCGAACAGACGAGGAGCUUGCUCCUCUGACGUUAUCGGCGGACGGGUGAGUAACACGUGGAUAACCUACCUAUAAGACUGGGAUAACUUCGGGAAACCGGAGCUAAUACCGGAUAAUAUAUUGAACCGCAUUGUUCAAUAGUUAAAGACGGUUUUGCUGUCACUUAUAGAUGGAUCCGCGCCGCAUUAGCUAGUUGGUAAGGUAACGGCUUACCAAGGCAACGAUGCGUAGCCGACAUGAGAGGGUGAUCGGCAACACUGGAACUGAGACACGGUACAGACUCCUACGGGAGGAAGCAGUAGGGAAUAUUCCGCAAAGGGCGAAAGCAUGACGGAGCAACGCCGAGUGAGUGAUGAAGGUCUUCGGAUCGUAAAACUCUGUUAUUAGGGAAGAAAAAAUGUGUAAGUAAAUAUGCACGUCUUGACGGUAACUAAUCAGAAAGCCACGGCUAACUACGUG
rnacentral:rRNA from 1 species